rnacentral:rRNA from 1 species
CUUGCUGCUUCGCUGACGAGUGGCGGACGGGUGAGUAAUGUCUGGGAAACUGCCUGAUGGAGGGGGAUAACUACUGGAAACGGUAGCUAAUACCGCAUAACGUCGCAAGACCAAAAAGGGGGACCUUCGGGCCUCUUGCCAUCGGAUGUGCCCAGAUGGGAUUAGCUAGUAGGUGGGGUAACGGCUCACCUAGGCGACGAUCCCUAGCUGGUCUGAGAGGAUGACCAGCCACACUGGAACUGAGACACGGUCCAGACUCCUACGGGAGGCAGCAGUGGGGAAUAUUGCACAGUGGGCGCAAGCCUGAUGCAGCCAUGCCGCGUGUAUGAAGAAGGCCUUCGGGUUGUAAAGUACUUUCAGCGGGGAGGAAGGGAGUAAAGUUAAUACCUUUGCUCAUUGACGUUACCCGCAGAAGAAGCACCGGCUAACUCCGUGCCAGCAGCCGCGGUAAUACGGAGGGUGCAAGCGUUAAUCGGAAUUACUGGGCGUAAAGCGCACGCAGGCGGUUUGUUAAGUCAGAUGUGAAAUCCCCGGGCUCAACCUGGGAACUG